UUGGACCUGAUAUCAGGCAAGAUUACCCGCUGAACUUAAGCA
rnacentral:rRNA from 2 species